AGUAGAUUUUCUCCUCUGGAACACACUGCAGUUUAAUUUCACCUCUUUCUACAAUGUGCGAUGAAGGUGGACUUAACUUUUAAAGGCAAAGAGACAAACCACUGCCAGGAUAAAUGAAAAGACGCAGAGGGGGCAGCUGGCACCACACAGGCAAGGAAAUGCUUUCUGGCUGGUUCCUAAUUUUCAUAUCCGGGUCAUCUUCAGAAAUCAUUUUCAGAGUAUCCUGCCACUGGUGUUGUGAAGGAAAGUCUAAGGAAGAGUUACCUUUUGGCACCCAGAAGCCAGAUUCCACGGUAGUGAGUGCUCUAUGAACUGACUGAACAUCUGCAGGAAGAUAAAAGUGUCUACGUUAGCCGAGUGGCUGAAAACCAACAGUCUCCCACUACAGGUGUAAAAAAUCUUAAAGAUUUUAGACACAUUUUUCGUAAUGAUCACAUAAUGGAUUCAUGUUCUGUAUUCCUUCACACUGAGGAGGUAGAGUCGUACAAAUUUACUUAUAUUGAACUUUGGUGCUAUGCCUCAGACAUCUCACUAAAAUUCCAAAUGUUUCUAAAAUGUCACAUCUACAUUUAAUAUAAACAAAACAUUAAAGGAUUUACUCAGUGGUAUCUUAAAAUCCGUCUCAUUAUCAGAAACAGCAAAAGGAAAAUAACUCAAUCUCUUUAAGACUGAAAUGUAUUAGAUUAGAAUUUAUCAUAGCCUGGUUCUGGCCAGGUCUUCGUAAUAAAUCUCCCCAUUUCCCAUUCAAACGCGAAAUCUUCAAUUUUCACGCUGGUAAACGAUAAAAGUGAUUUAAAGAGAUCUUUCUGUUUAUUUCUUCUUUAAGGGUAUG